CAUUCAAGCGAAAUAUUGUACACAUAAAUUCUACUUGACACGAUCUUUCGAACGAUAUAUAAUACAUAUCCAUUCGCGAUUAUCACUUGGGGCACUUCCCUUGUUAGUAGCGCCGCGACAUUUGCGCAGUGAAGUUUACCGCAUCGUUUAAUUUCAUAGAAACAGAAAGAUCUGUGAACUUACUUUUGCUCUAUUUUCUUUGUUUACUUUUAUUUUCUUUUAAUCGAUUACCUCUUAAUCUACUACUUGGCGAUGCUUUUACUCAAAAUAAGUAACUAUUUGCGAUCAGUUACUCAUUGUAAGCUGCCAAGAGCUAGGCAACCAAAAUAGUCAGUUGAAGAAAGAUCGCCCGCUAAGUAGGACGUGUUUUGAAAACUCGCUAUAAAUACUGCCGAAUAGUCUUUCAGAUUUUCAGUGAACUCUGUACAUCCCAUUGUGUAUUUUCAUUAAUUUUUGACGAAACGU